UGCCGCGCGCCGCCGACCCACACCGCCCCCGCCCCUGACCCGCCCCCGCCACUGACCCGCCCCUCCCCGGCCCUGUGCGCCACCGCCGCCUCGCCGCAUCUCGCACGGACGCCGAAGCCUAGGAGGAGGAGGAGGAGGGACCGGAAGACAAGAGGAGGAGAAGAGCAGACCGCCGCCUCGUCGCAUCCCCGCCCCUGGCCCGCCCCUCCCUCACUGUGCGUCUUCGUCUCCUCUUGCGGACUGCGGUGGCAGCCGCCGGCGAUCCCCGAUCGGCGACACUCAGCUGAACGCUGCUAAAGUCAUUGCUGUUGGCCCUGGUGAUCGUGAUAGGGAUGGUAAGCUGAUCCCUGUAUCUCUAAGUGAAGGCGACACUAUUCUGCUUCCGGACUAUGGUGGAACAAAGGUGAAGCUUGCUGAAAGAGUAUGUUAACAUAUGCAUGUCAUUUUGACUUGGCACUAUAUUCUCUCUCCCCUCCCUUUUCUGUUGUUGUUGCUUUGUACACCUAAAUCAGAGAAUUCAAGAACAGAAACACCUGGAUAUUUGUCAUUGACGGUCUUCUUGCCCGAA